AAAGGGUGGGCGGCGGCCGAGGGAAUAAUGUUGGGAACUCGCUUCCGACGUCUGUGUGGUCCGAUUCCUCACCUCGAACAGUCUAGCCCUAAGGUUCGGACACAAAGAAGGCUGAGCACGGAGCCACCUUUAGGUGGACGGGGUCUGUGCUUUGUCCCGCCUCAGGUCCCCGCUGGUCCCUCGCGCUGCCGGAAAGUGGGCGUAAAGGGGAUAUCCAGCACUGCGGGUGGGCCCGAGGCCCUUCUUUGCCCACUCCGAAGAGGUCCUUGGAUUGAGAGUGAGACAAUUCACAGCAGGGACUGCCGGACAUCAACACCAUGAGGUGCCAACACUCUCAGGAACUUCUUGUUCCUGAGCAGUGCCAGCUGGGUUAUUUUCAGAGAGGCGCUGAAGGAAAUAAGUUCUUUCUCCCUCUCCCACCUGGGCUGGAAGCCAAGAUAGCUGUGUAUUUGGAAGAAAGCAGAAGCCAAGAUCUGAAGAAAUAGAAAAGGUACCAAAGGAGAGCCAAGAGAGUGAAAAGACGCAUCCUGUGCCACUCCCCUUGCCUUCUUCGUACAGAGCCCAUCCCCAUCCCUCACCCCAGGCAAGCGGGUAGAGGUUGGAGUUCAGACCUGUGCUCAAUGAUGAUAAGAAGUCCAGGGUGCCCGGGGCAUGCCAACAAUUCGCAUGCAUUUCUUUCCCCUCACAGAAGCGCUCCCUAUUCCUGACAGCCAACCUGGAGCCACCUGCUGCUGAUCAAAGAGCUUUGAUGAUUUCUGGAAAUCAUCAGUCAUCAUGAGACAAACCCUCCCUUUUGUUAUAAAAGCAACUCGCCCCUUCUACUCAGGGAGCUGACUCUUUUUUUUUUUCCUGCC